GAUUAAGAACGUAGCGAAAUGCGAUACGUAAUGUGAAUUGCAGAAUUCAGUGAAUCAUCGAGUCUUUGAACGCACAUUGCGCCCCCUGGUAUUCCGGGGGGCAUGCCUGUCCGAGCGUCAUUGCUGCCCUCAAGCACGGCUUGUGUGUUGGGCCUCCGUCCUCCUCCCGGGGGACGGGCCCGAAAGGCAGCGGCGGCACCGCGUCCGGUCCUCGAGCGUAUGGGGCUUCGUCACCCGCUCUUGUAGGCCCGGCCGGCGCUUGCCGACACAUCAAUCUUUUUUCCAGGUUGACCUCGGAUCAGGUAGGGAUACCCGCUGAACUUAAGCAUAUCAAUAAGCGGAGGA
rnacentral:misc_RNA from 1 species